AAUUCUCAACCUUCUCGGUUUCUUCUGGACACCGAAGGAGGCUUGGACUUUGGAGGCCUUUGCUGGAACCUUUCUCUCUUGAAAGCCAGCUCCUCUUAAAUGAAUUAGCGGGGUCCUCUUUGCUGAUCCUCGACAUGUGAUAAGAUGUUUCCAUGUCUUGGUUUCUGGCUCUGUUGCUUUUGGGACCUGCUUCUAACCGUCUCAAACUUGCAUCGAGACAAUGUUUGAGCGUGUCUCCCUCCUCGGGAAACUCUCUCAACACCACGAAC
rnacentral:misc_RNA from 1 species